UACGUAGGGAGCAAGCGUUGUCCGGAAUCAUUGGGCGUAAAGCGCGCGUAGGUGGCUUCAUAAGUCCGUUGUGAAAGUCAAAGGCUCAACCUUUGAAAGCCGAUGGAUACUGUGAAGCUAGAGUACGGAAGAGGCGAGUGGAAUUCCUGGUGUAGCGGUGGAAUGCGCAGAUAUCAGGAGGAACACCAAUAGCGAAGGCAGCUCGCUGGGACGUUACUGACACUGAGAGACGAAAGCUAGGGGAGCGAAUGGG
rnacentral:rRNA from 1 species